CUACCACUGGUAGUUAUUAGAUACUCCACAAACAGCCUAAAUGUAUAAGCAGCAGCUGGUGUCAAAGUAUGUGAGUCUCCAUGGGUGUGCAGCAUAUUAUGGCUUAAUGCAAUGUGGAAGAAAUACUCCUAUCCUUCAUCAUCACAUUCCUAGCACCUGAGGACCUGAUGUGGGGACAGGAAGAUAUCCAUAUGACUUGCAUUACUGAUCAGAGCAGAAGUUUGAGAUGGGAAACCAUGAAUGUGGCAAGGAAAGAUUCCUGAUGUAGAGUGGAACUAACUCGCUGGAAGAUGAUGAUGGAAAGCAACUGAGGUGCUAUGCUUGCAGUGGUUUUGAAGCAGGAGGAAAAAGUUUUCAAAUGUGCCAGUUGCUUCAAGCCAGAUAUAUUGCCUGCUGUGCCUGAGAUUGUGUAAGAGAAAGUUGAGGCAGCAGCAGCAUGGCAGAUUUGUGUAAGAGAAAGUAGAGGUAGCAGCAGCAUGGCAGGUUCCUUUUGCUUUGAAACUGGAAGUUAAUGAAGUUAAGCAGGUUCCUUUUGCUUUGAAACUGGAAGUUUAUGAAGUUAAGCAGGUAUUUGCAUUUGAGUGAACUGAUAGUCUUGGAAGGAAGUGAUAACUCUGUUUCAGGUAGACUGGAAGGCUACACAUCAGAGGUUGCUGUCUUAUCAAAGUGAUGGUAACUAGUCACAGUGGGCUUGAUGAAACUCGUGAAUGAUUGGAGAUACAGUUAUUCGAGGUGGAGAGAUUGAGAUGCUGUGUGCUGACAUGCCUGGUGGACAUCACUCCUGACAGUUAGGAGCACACCACAAAGCAUUGGAGAGGUUUGUUGAAUAAAAGAUAAGUUUGAAAUGCCUAUGUUGAUUUAUAUUCUUGAAUAUAUCUCAAACAAAUCUCUCGACGGUCUUCAAACCAAUGCAUUUUAAUUUGUUGAAGUAUUUGUGCCCUGGUCCUGGUUCACAUUGGUGACUUAACAGGGAUGCCAUUUAAUUUAAAAAAGACUGCAAUAUGGAGACAUGCGGUAAUGAUUUAUUUUAUAUCUAGUGAUGUGUGUACCAUAUAUUUUUUUGCAAACCAGAGCUUCAAGACACUGGAAAUAAGAUAUUUUCAACUUAUCCAUGUCAUAUUUUAAGCAUAUGAAUUUUAUGCAUGCAAAAUUAAGUAAGAAUGUCUUAAUACCACUGUUGUCUAAAUCUUGGUAAGAUUAGGAAGUGUAUGUGAAAGCAACAAUAAAACAUGAUUGCA